UGGGGAAUAUUGGACAAUGGGGGGAACCCUGAUCCAGCCAUGCCGCGUGUGUGAAGAAGGCCUUAUGGUUGUAAAGCACUUUAAGCGAGGAGGAGGCUCUUUUGGUUAAUACCCAAGAUGAGUGGACGUUACUCGCAGAAUAAGCACCGGCUAACUCUGUGCCAGCAGCCGCGGUAAUACAGAGGGUGCGAGCGUUAAUCGGAUUUACUGGGCGUAAAGCGUGCGUAGGCGGCUUUUUAAGUCGGAUGUGAAAUCCCGCAGCUAACUUAGGAAUUUGGCAAUUUGCAUGCAUACAUGGGGAAAGCUAGAGUAUGGGAGAGGAUGGUAGAAUUCCAGGUGUAGCGGUGAAAAUGCGUAGAGAUCUGGAGGAAAUACCGAUGGCGAAAGGCAGCCAUCUGGCCUAAAUACUGACGCUGAGGU
rnacentral:rRNA from 1 species